UACCUGGUUGAUUCUGCCAGUAGUCAUAUGCUUGUCUCAAAGAUUAAGCCAUGCAUGUCUAAGUAUAAGCAAUUUAUACCGUGAAACUGCGAAUGGCUCAUUAAAUCAGUUAUCGUUUAUUUGAUAGUACCUUACUACUUGGAUAACCGUGGUAAUUCUAGAGCUAAUACAUGCUAAAAGCCCCGACUUCGGAAGGGGUGUAUUUAUUAGAUAAAAAACCAAUGCCCUCCGGGGCUCCUUGGUGAUUCAUAAUAAUUAACGAAUCGCAUGGCCUUGUGCCGGCGAUGGUUCAUUCAAAUUUCUGCCCUAUCAACUUUCGAUGGUAGUAUAUGGGACUACCAUGGUUUCAACGGGUAACGGGGAAUUAGGGUUCUAUUCCGGAGAGGGAGCCUGAGAAACGGCUACCACAUCCAAGGAAGGCAGCAGGCGCGCAAAUUACCCAAUCCCGACACGGGGAGGUAGUGACAAUAAAUACUGAUACAGGGCUCUUUUGGGUCUUGUAAUUGGAAUGAGUACAAUUUAAAUCCCUUAACGAGGAACAAUUGGAGGGCAAGUCUGGUGCCAGCAGCCGCGGUAAUUCCAGCUCCAAUAGCGUAUAUUAAAGUUGUUGCAGUUAAAAAGCUCGUAGUUGAACCUUGGGCCUGGCUGGCCGGUCCGCCUCACCGCGUGCACUGGUCCGGCCGGGUCUUUCCUCCUGGGGAGCCACAUGCCCUUCACUGGGUGUGUUGGGGAACCAGGACUUUUACUUUGAAAAAAUUAGAGUGUUCAAAGCAGGCCUAUGCUCGAAUACAUUAGCAUGGAAUAAUAGAAUAGGACGUGUGGUUCUAUUUUGUUGGUUUCUAGGACCGCCGUAAUGAUUAAUAGGGAUAGUCGGGGGCAUCAGUAUUCAAUUGUCAGAGGUGAAA
rnacentral:ncRNA from 1 species